rnacentral:rRNA from 1 species
GCCAAGACAUAAAAUUAACUCACACCACAAACGCCCGGGUAUUACGAGCUUCAGCUUAAAACCCAAAGGACUUGACGGUACCCCACCCAACUAGAGGAGCCUGUUCUGUAAUCGAUAACCCACGAUAUACCCAACCAUUUCUUGCCCUCAGCCUGUAUACCUCCGUCGUAAGCUUACCAUGUGAACGCACAAUAGUAAGCACAAAGGCUACAACGCCAUAACGUCAGGUCAAGGUGCAGCCCAUGAAAUGGAAGCAAUGGGCUACAAUUUCUAAUAUAGAACAAACAAAAUACCACAUGAAACACAGCUACAAAGAAGGAUUUAGUAGUAAAUAAGGAAUAGAGAGCCUUAUUAAACCUAGCCCUGGGGUG